AAGGCUUUAAGUUAAUAAAACUAAUAACCUUCAAAGUUAUAAUUAAAAGGAAUCUUUUAAGCCUUA
rnacentral:tRNA from 1 species